CCCGCCGGGCCGGUUUUCGGGACCGGAGGUAAUGAUCAACAGAGACGGGCGGGGGCAUUCGUACCGAGACGUUAGAGGUGAAAUUCUUGGAUCGUCUCGAGACGAACUGACGCGAAAGCAUUUGCCAAGUACGUUCUCGUAUGAUCAAGAACGAAAGUUAGAGGUUCGAAGGCGAUCAGAUACCGCCCUAGUUCUAACUGUAAACGAUGCCAGCUAGCGAUCCGCCGGCGUUUCAUUAACGACCCGGCGGGCAGCUUCCGGGAAACCGAAGCUUUUCGGUUCCGGGGGAAGUAUGAUUGCAAAGUUGAAACUUAAAGGAAUUGACGGAAGGGCACCACCAGGAGUGGAGCCUGCGGCUUAAUUUGACUCAACACGGGAAACCUCACCAGGCCCGGACACCGGAAAGAUUGACAGAUUGAGAGCUCUUUCUUGAUUCGGUGGGUGGUGGUGCAUGGCCGUUCUUAGUUGGUGGAGCGAUCUGUCUGGUUAAUUCCGAUAACGAACGAGACUCUGUCCUGCUAACUAGGCGGGUAAACCCGGGUCGGCGUGGGCGCGGCACGGGCGGUUUCGGCCGUCCGCGUCCGCGUUCCCGUCGGCUCGGCCCGGUAUCCCCGAACGCGUUCGCCCGUCGUCCACGGCGGUCGUCGGGCGCGGUCGCGCCAUCCGCGUCCC
rnacentral:ncRNA from 1 species